rnacentral:lncRNA from 1 species
CCUAGGCUUGGUUGCAGGAGAAGGCUGGAAGGUAAGGAGCCAAGGAAUCCCUGGGAGUCACUCGUUCUCAGAGGUCCCUGCAUGCCAGUGGGCCUCAGGCUGGCUGGAGGGAGGCUGGGUCCCUUUGAGGGAGAAUAGCAUUGAUGUGGGCUUGGUUCUCAGGGAGGUAGGAGUCCAGCGGAUCAGCCAACCAGCCAGGUCCAGGCUAUGAAACCAGGACCUCUUUUACACCUAUUCCUUUGUCUUGAUAUUCUCAUUUUUAAAAUCAGGCUCAUUAAGCUUGUUGACUCUCAAGCUGGACAUAGUGGCCUAUGCCUGUAAUCCCAGCCCUUUGGAGGCUGAGGUGGGAGGAUUGUUUGAGCCCAGGAGUUCAAGACUGGGCAACCUAGGGAAACCCCUGUCUCUACAGAUAAUUUUAAAAUUAGCUGGGUGUGGUGGUGCACACCUGUAGUCCCAGCUAUUCAGGAGGCUGAGGCAGGAUGAUUGCCUGAGCCCAGGAGGUCAAGGCGGCAGUCAGCCAUGAUCAUGCCACUGCACUUCAACCUGGGCAACAGAGCAAGACCUUGUUUCAAAAAAAAUCAAACUCACUGGGUUCAGUGGCUCUCGUCUGUCAUGCCAGCACUUUGAGAGGCUGAGGCAGGAGGAUCACUUGAGGCCAGGAGUUCAAGACCAGCCUGGUCAACAUAGUGAGACCCUGUCUCUACAAAAAAAUUAAAAAUAUAAAUAAAUUAGCUAUGUGUGGUGGUGCAUGUAUGUGGUCCCAGCUAUUCAGGAGGCUGAGGUGGGAGGAUCACUUGAGCCCAAGAGGUUGAGGCUGCAAUGAACUAUGAUCAUGCCACUGCACUCUAGCCUGAGCGACAGAGCGAGAAUCUAAAAAAAAAAAAAAAAAAAAAUCAGCUAGGCAAGAUGGCUCACGCCUGUAAUCCCAGCACUUUGGGAGGCUAAGGCAGGCAGAUCACUUGACCCCAGGAGUUCAAGAUCAGCCUGGGCAACAUGGUGAAACUCUGUCUGUACAAGAAAUACAAAAAUUAGCUGUGCAUGGUAGUGUGUACCUGUAGUCCCAGUUACUUGGGAGGCUAACUGGGGAGAAUCACUUGAGCUCAGGUCAUUGAGGCUGCAGUGAGCCAUGAUUGUGCCACUGCACUCCAGUCUGGGCAACAGAGUGAGACUGUGUCUCAAACAUGAUGAAACCCUAUCUCUACUAAAAAAUACAAAAAUUUGGUUGGGUGCAGUGGCUCAGUGCUGUAAUCCCAGCACUUUGGGAGGCCGAGGUGGGUGGAUCACCUGAGGUCAGGAGUUCAAGACCAGCAUGACCGACAUGGAGAAACCCUGUCUCUACUAAAAAUACAAAAUUAGCCAGGCGUGGUGGUGCAUGCCUAUAAUCCCAGCUACUCAGGAGGCUGAGGCAGGAGAAUUGCUUGAACCCGGGGGAGGCAGAGGUUGCGGUGAGCUAAGAUCAUGUCAUUAUAGUCCAGUUUGGGCAACAAGACUGAAAUUCUGUCUCAAAAAAAAAAAAAAAAAA